rnacentral:rRNA from 1 species
GACGAACGCUGGCGGCGUGCUUAACACAUGCAAGUCGAACGGAAAGGCCCUGCUUUUGUGGGGUGCUCGAGUGGCGAACGGGUGAGUAACACGUGAGUAACCUGCCCUUGACUUUGGGAUAACUUCAGGAAACUGGGGCUAAUACCGGAUAGGAGCUCCUGCUGCAUGGUGGGGGUUGGAAAGUUUCGGCGGUUGGGGAUGGACUCGCGGCUGAUCAGCUUGUUGGUGGGGUAGUGGCUUACCAAGGGUUUGACGGGUAGCCGGCCUGAGAGGGUGACCGGCCACAUUGGGACUGAGAUACGGCCCAGACUCCUACGGGAGGCAGUAGUGGGGAAUAUUGCACAAUGGGAGGAAGCCUGAUGCAGCAACGCCGCGUGCGGGAUGACGGCCUUCGGGUUGUAAACCGCUUUCGCCUGUGACGAAGCGUGAGUGACGGUAAUGGGUAAAGAAGCACCGGCUAACUACGUG